UACGAAGGGGGCUAGCGUUGCUCGGAAUCACUGGGCGUAAAGCGCACGUAGGCGGAUUGUUAAGUCAGGGGUGAAAUCCUGGAGCUCAACUCCAGAACUGCCUUUGAUACUGAGGAUCUUGAGUUCGGGAGAGGUGAGUGGAACUGCGAGUGUAGAGGUGAAAUUCGUAGAUAUUCGCAAGAACACCGGUGGCGAAGGCGCCAUCUGGACGGCUAUUGACGCUGAGACGCGAAAAGCGUGGGGAGCAAACAGG
rnacentral:rRNA from 1 species